CGCAUACUCAAACAAAGCCAGCAAACUCAGAUUUCAUUUUAGUCCAACACUCACGAAAGGACCAAGGGUGACCAUCGUUUUGAUACUAAACGCUACUACUUGUACCCCGAAAGCAUAUCUAUGACCGACUACCUGACCCUGGCGAAAUAGUCCAACCAACGUAUUCGUAUUUGGUUAUCGAUUCCACGACCACUUGGCUCCCCACUGAUUUCUACAACCAGGUUGUGAAAAAUAUUAUGUACAACAUGCAUGAAGGCUCCGCCAUUUCCGUUAAAGUCUUCUUGAUACAUCUGUGGCAAUUGUAAAAAGGUGUUUGAGUU
rnacentral:lncRNA from 1 species